AGCGAACGCUGGCGGCAGGCUUAACACAUGCAAGUCGAGCGCCCCGCAAGGGGAGCGGCAGACGGGUAAGUAACGCGUGGGAAUCUACCCAUCUCUACGGAACAACUCCGGGAAACUGGAGCUAAUACCGUAUACGUCCUUCGGGAGAAAGAUUUAUCGGAGAUGGAUGAGCCCGCGUUGGAUUAGCUAGUUGGUGGGGUAAUGGCCUACCAAGGCGACGAGCCAUAGCUGGUCUGAGAGGAUGAUCAGCCACACUGGGACUGAGACACGGCCCAGACUCCUACGGGAGGCAGCAGUGGGGAAUAUUGGACAAUGGGCGAAAGCCUGAUCCAGCCAUGCCGCGUGAGUGAUGAAGGCCCUAGGGUUGUAAAGCUCUUUCACCGGUGAAGAUAAUGACGGUAACCGGAGAAGAAGCCCCGGCUAACUUCGUGCCAGCCGCCGCGGUAAGAC
rnacentral:rRNA from 1 species